rnacentral:rRNA from 1 species
GACAGAGGGGGCAAGCGUUGCUCGGAAUCACUGGGCGUAAAGGGCGCGUAGGCGGCCUGCUAAGUCGGAUGUGAAAUCCCUCGGCUCAACCGAGGAACUGCAUCCGAUACUGGCGGGCUUGAAUCCGGGAGAGGGAUGUGGAAUUCCAGGUGUAGCGGUGAAAUGCGUAGAUAUCUGGAGGAACACCGGGUGGCGAAGGCGGCAUCCUGGACCGGUAUUGACGCUGAGGCGCGAAAAGCUAGGGGAGCAACGGGG